rnacentral:rRNA from 1 species
GGUCCAGCAAUGGAUGAUGACGAGUAGCGCACGGGUGCGUAACACGUAUGCAACCUACCUUUGACUGGGGAAUAGCCCCGAGAAAUCGGGAUUAAUGCCCCAUAAAAUUACGAAAAGGCAUCUUUUUGUAAUUAAAGCUCCGGCGGUCUUAGAUGGGCAUGCGCGACAUUAGCUAGUUGGUGAGGUAACGGCUCACCAAGGCUACGAUGUCUAGGGGUUCUGAGAGGAUUCACCCCCACACUGGUACUGAGACACGGACCAGACUCCUACGGGAGACAGCAGUAAGGAAUAUUGGUCAAUGGGCGCAAGCCUGAACCAGCCAUGCCGUGUGCAGGAAGACGGCCCUAUGGGUUGUAAACUGCUUUUGUACGGGAAAAAACCUCCGGUCGUGUACCGGAGCUGAUGGUACCGUAAGAAUAAGCAUCGGCUAACUCCGUGCCAGCAGCCGCGGUAAUACGGAGGAUGCAAGCGUUAUCCGGAUUCAUUGGGUUUAAAGGGUGCGCAGGCGGAACGAUAAGUCAGUGGUGAAAUCCUGCAGCUUAACUGCAGAACUGCCAUUGAUACUGCCGUUCUUGAGUAUAGUUGAAGUGGGCGGAAUGUGUCAUGUAGCGGUGAAAUGCUUAGAUAUGACACAGAACACCGAUCGCGAAGGCAGCUCGCUAAACUAUAACUGACGCUCAUGCACGAAAGCGUGGGGAUCAAACAGGAUUAGAUACCCUGGUAGUCCACGCCGUAAACGAUGAUUACUCGAUGUUGGCGAUAUACAGUCAGCGUCUAAGCGAAAGCAUUAAGUAAUCCACCUGGGGAGUACGUUCGCAAGGAUGAAACUCAAAGGAAUUGACGGGGGCCCGCACAAGCGGAGGAGCAUGUGGUUUAAUUCGAUGAUACGCGAGGAACCUUACCUGGGCUAGAACGCUGAAUGACCGU